rnacentral:lncRNA from 1 species
GCUAGGUUUCGGUGUAGGUUUAGAAGUAAGCUUUAGUUUAGAAUUGGACGAAUAAAUGAACGGAGUGUUCACAUAAACUCCGACACGAGUCGUAAAACGUGCAUUGAUAUAAUCAUAUUGUUGAGCCUUUAAGGCCAUCGAAAUAGAAGGCAAUUACCCUCUCAACAUAAUCUUCGGUAGAAGACUCAGUUGCCAACCGCAACCACCGUCCCCAGCUACAAGAGCGGGCCACGGGAACCCGAUCGCUGCCGCCGGAGCCAACGCAACGCAUACAAGCAGCUUGGACCAAAAACGCCAUAAAGUUAAUUUGUAUUCUUCCGUCCGGUUUAUGGCUUUUUGUGUGCACGUUUCAUUUUUUUAAAGUAAUAAUAAGGUAGGCCCUAGCUUGGACAAGAACACCACACUCGUAGCCGACGAGCCAGCAGCCGGAACACAUAUAAGCGUGCCGUCCAAGAGCUAGGAAUUACAUCUUGGCUGUACAUGGGUUAUCCGUUAUAAACACUAACGUAAACAAAAACAAAUCUUCCUUUGCAGCUACACAAUCCCUUGGGCGAGUCGAGAGACAACUGCAACUCACGGUUGCAGUCGGUGAGUGAACCAAUCUUUUUCCCUCGCAAUUAAUUUCCGCUUCUUUUUUUCACAAGGAGUGCCAACUCCUCUUACUGUUUCGUUUUUUAUAGUUGUCCUGGCUCUCUCGAGUCGGGCAACUAUGCUGAUGCCCUGUCGGCACCGCACGGACCACAACUGGAGAGACCCCGAACCUCUCUUCCGAUCCGAUCCGUGGACCUCUCGAGUCGGACAAGGUUGCUGUAGCCCAUUUGGCUACACCCGGACCACAACUCGAGGUAUUCACUCGUCAAAUCUCUCCGAGGCCUCCACGAGUCGGACAACGUGGCUGUAGCCCAUUUGGCUACACCAGGACCACAACUCUCCUCCUCUACGCUGAACUCUUCUCCUCAACGGCUACUAUGGCUGGGGUGUAUUCCUAGCUCACGGACCAACAGGGUAUCUUGGACCCCCCGUCUAAAACCGAUGCCUUUCGUUUCCAUUGGGCGCCAUUUAUUAGGGCGCCACUCGUUUUCCUUGGGCGCCAUUUGUUCUGAUCCGCCUUUUUGCCGCCCUGGUCUAUCGUUCCCGGCUAGCUCUCGGGGAACUCAGGGGUGUUUUCGACCCGAUUGCCAGGGGACGGAUUUAACAAAAAAAAACCUAUUUUCUCGCGUGCAACGGACAGAUCUCAUUUUUUUACACGCGUCUACGUUAGCACUCUCCUCGGUGGGGUCAGUCGGUGUUCUAUUUGACCAUCGCGACUCCCUCCCAUCCAUGAGCGUUCAAAAUGUUGCACGCUCCCAUUUAAAAACAGCUGGUUCCACUCUUCCGACCUCUCUCGUCUCACCCAAUCUAAGGAGCUCUAAUCCAUUUUAAUUUUCUUUUUAAAUCUUCAAAUGUAAUUCAACAUUUCUUUAAUUUUAUAACUAUACUUAAUUCCUAAAACAUUUUUACCUCGACUGACAUUCACCUUGCGGAAUAAAUAAAUACUAACAUAAAAAUACUAACAUUAAAAAAAAUACACACGGAUUCUAUUUUUUGCCCGAGGUGGCUUCCCCAAUUUUAGGUAAACAAACCGGCAAUAAUUGACAUGCACAUUUAAAUGGUUAACCAGAAAAAUGUGCCAACUGCAACGAAGAUCAUGCUGCUAGUUACAAAGGGUGUAAAGUCUAUCAGAAUCUUUUAUCAAAACCACCAGAGAAACACCAAAGAUGACAAUAAUAAAAAUGACCAUGGCACAUAUCAUUUGCUCCGUUUAAAAAUUCGACCCAACAACACAAAGAUUACCAAUCAUACGCUCAAGUUGCUGCAGGAAAUAGUACCUCGAACAAGUCUCUAGAAAGAAUAGAACAGCUUCUAAAAAAACAAUCUCAACUUACCAAUAAUUUACUUAACAUGAUAAUGUUACUUGUAAAUAAGCUAUGCAAAUAAUUCUAAACUUAGGAAUAUGGAAUGCCAAUGGGC